rnacentral:rRNA from 1 species
AAAGUCACACAAGGGAUGGAGCUUGCGGCUUAAUUCGACUCAACGCGCGAAACCUUUCCUAACUAAAACACUAAAAGGAUUGACAGAUUAAGAGCUCUUUCAUAAUAUAGUGGAGGGUGGUGCAUGGCCGUUUUUAGCUCGUGAAGUGAUUUGUCUGGUUCAUUCCGUCAACGGGCGAGAUCUUAAUCUAUUAAUUAGAACAAGCGUAUCUGAGCGCUUCAGUUCUUCUUAAAGAAACAAAAAGUUGAAAACUUUGUGAAGGAAGGCCAAAACAGGUCAGUGAUGCCCCUAGAUACUUAGGACGGCACGCGUGUUACAAUGAUAGAGUCAAUUAGGUCGUUUGCGAGAUAUCUCUGACAACCCUCCAGUCUCUAACCUGACUGGAAUAAGGGUUUGUAAUUCUCCUCUUUAAACGAGGAACCUCUAGUAAGCAUUACUGACCAUUUAAUGCUGAAUUAGUCCCUGGCUUUUGUGCACACCGCCCCGUCGUUGGUACCGAUUCAGUGGCGUAGUGAGGAC